rnacentral:rRNA from 1 species
AGUGAACGCUGGCGGUAGGCCUAACACAUGCAAGUCGAACGGCAGCACAGUAAGAGCUUGCUCUUACGGGUGGCGAGUGGCGGACGGGUGAGGAAUACAUCGGAAUCUACUUUUUCGUGGGGGAUAACGUAGGGAAACUUACGCUAAUACCGCAUACGACCUACGGGUGAAAGCAGGGGAUCUUCGGACCUUGCGCGAUUGAAUGAGCCGAUGUCGGAUUAGCUAGUUGGCGGGGUAAAGGCCCACCAAGGCGACGAUCCGUAGCUGGUCUGAGAGGAUGAUCAGCCACACUGGAACUGAAACACGGUCCAGACUCCUACGGGAGGCAGCAGUGGGGAAUAUUAGACAAUGGGCGCAAGCCUUAUCCAGCCAUACCGCGUGUGUGAAGAAGGCCUUCGGGUUGUAAAGCCCUUUUGUUGGGAAAGAAAAGCAUCAGGUUAAUACCCCGCUGUUCUGACGGUACCCAAAAAAUAAGCACCGGCUAACUUCGUG